GAAGCCCCGCCCAACACCGCAGGAAAUGCGCCUCCUGGGCCGUCAUUGGCCACCCGCUCGGGCGGAAGCGCGGAGCACCACCUCCUGGGUAGUGUAGUUUGGGCGCCACCUGUGCGCACGCGCCUGCACCCCUUCCCUUCUCCACGGCAACGGCCAAGCGGCUCCGCUAGAACCGACCAGGAAAUAACGCUCCAGAUUUCCAGGCACCGGGGCGGCGCUUCGCUUCCUCUUACAGAAAAGAGCUCACAUUUCCGUGGGCGCGGGGGCAAGGUCCCGCCCUCAGGAGGCGUGCAUCCGCGGGACCUGGGAACCUGCUAGGAAUGCAAGCUUUGUGGACCCUCUCAGGCCUAGAGAAUCCAACUGCGGGGGGCUCAGCACUCUGUGCUUUAAGGAAUCCUUCUGCAGCUCACUCAAGUUUGAGAACCAUGGCUCUUCUGUGACUAGAAUGGGAAAUACUAAGUCCAUCAUGGGAAUUUACAUGAAAUGCCUAUUAGAUAGUUAGUACUCAGGCAGCUGGGCCCAGAUGUAAAUAGAUGAUCACAAGAUGGCCCAGCCUGAAGCUCAGAGGCUUCAGAUCCUCAGGUCCUGUCCUCAUCGAAACACCAUCACCAUCAGCCCAUCACUUGAGCCUGCAGCCCUGAGGGAGCACUAAAUCCUGGUGAGGUGUGAAAUCUAGAACCAGUGGGGCCAUCCCCGGAAUGGUGAACAAUGCAGUAACAAGACACAACUUCACAAUCACUUCUGCGUGAUUCAAUUGGCCACAUCUCACAUGGUCCCAAAUUAAAGUUCCUUUAAUCAGUGAAGAGCAGUGGAGUUCCAGAUGGUGAUGACAAGGCCAGAAAAUAGUGGGCAUCUGAGAAGCUGGAUCCUUUAUGGAUACUUUAUGAGCAUCUAGGCUUUUACCUGUGCCGAGAAGAGCUGCUUCAAGAACACCAAUCAGAAGACAUGAUGAUCAGGGCAAGUAUUUGGCCUUUCCUUUGGUAGCACAACUGAGUAUGUUCAAGCUAUAAACACAAAACUGGAACCCUGAGAGGAGGCCAAAUGAUGCUGAAAUCAGCGAAAGUACUUGGGACUGAGCAGGGAGAGGUUUGUGGGGUGGUGGAGAUGGGGGUUCAGUUCUCUCGAGAAUUCCCCAACAGCCUGAAUCAGCUCAGAAAAUGUGGGGCUUAUGACUAAUCUAGGUUUAGGGCCUCGUAUGGCAAGUCCCACAGAAUGGGGCAAAAAAGGGAGAUCUUUCAGGAAAGUAGUAUGAAGUAAUAAUCCACAGAAGUGGGAGUGGGAAGAAUGAUAAUCGGAGGAGCUGAUUAAUGGGAAGAAAAUGUGACAAUAGAAUUUCUUACUUCCGGUAUUUUGACAGAAAACUGUGAGAUGAUUACUGGGGUAUGGGGGGUUUACCUGAGAAGUGACCUCAGGAUGGACAGGAGUGAAGUGGGCGGUGAGAUGGGGUGGGGAAGGCCGUACAAUUUCCAUCAGGGAGCAGGUUGAUGCCGAGGACAAAGCUGGCUCCACCCUGCUAGAGGUCUUUUUUUUUUUUUUUUGGAUUUUAUUUUUUUCCUUUUUCUCCCCAAAGCCCCCUAGUACAUAGUUGUAUAUUCUUCG